UAUUUGAAACCGCAUGUAUUUACUCUGAAUGGAACAGUCGGAUAUCUGAAUAAAGAAAUCUAUUACUAAUACCACUAGUCACACAAAAACGUCUUAAAAAACAACGACUGAUUUCAGUGUCUGGAGUAGACCUGAAAGAGCUAAUAAUCUAAGUUCAGAUCAAGGGAAUCCAUUAAACUGUACCUGUAGGGGAGGAAAAGCUAACUUUCUCUCUACCCUUCACAGUUCUUAGUUGGGACAGACCCCUCUAACAAGGGAUAUCAACAAGAAAAAAACAAAAAAUAUUUACAAACAAGUUUUACCUCAUGUAUCCAUGAGGGAGACACAGGGGAUGAGCAAUUCUCAAAAUGGCUUUGAACUCAGGCGUAAGCAGCAUCUUCAACAAAAACAAUAAAUUUUCAGACAAGUGACAAGACAAAGAAAAGCACUUUGAGUCUCAGGGCAGCAAACUGUGGGAAGGUGAAUAAAUGGGAGAUGAAGGUAAGUUAGUACACUUUGUUAUGUAGAUUCCACUGGUGCUGUCUCCAGCUUUUUUUUUUUUGAAAUGGAUUUUUACUCUGUCGCCUAGGCUGGAAUACAGUGGUGUGAUCUCGGCUCACUGCAGCUUCAUCCUCCCGAGUUCAAGUGAUCCUCCUGCCUCAGCCUCCCGAGUAGCUGGGACUACAGCUUUUGAAAGACUACUCAGAUGAUAGGAACCAAUGGUUGAAAGAAAGAGAAACAAGAUGAAAGGAUUCAUGACUUAUCUGGACACUGAGAGAGAGGCAGAUCCAGCUGGAUGUGCAGAUAAAAUAGAACCCAAAAGUAGUACAUGAGGAGAGAUGUGAAGAUAUCCUGGGUGAGUCUGAUUCUACUAUCAUUUUAUUUAGAUAUAUGGUAAAAUCUAUUGCAAGGCAAUUUCUUUUCUUUUACUUAGCUCUUAAAAAAACAUUUUAAAAAAUGAGACUCUAAUAGUGCUGUUGACUUUUUAUACAGCGACUUAAAUUAUAAUGACUAUUUUUCUUGUUAUCGUCAACAAAUUCACCAUUAACUGAGAGUCCACAGGGUAAACACCAGUGAGUUUUCUAGUUUUCAUUAGUGUUGACACAUGGUAAUAAAAUCA
rnacentral:lncRNA from 13 species